GAUGAACGCUGGCGGCGUGCCUAAUACAUGCAAGUCGAGCGAACGGACGAGAAGCUUGCUUUUCUGAUGUUAGCGGCGGACGGGUGAGUAACACGUGGAUAACCUACCUAUAAGACUGGGAUAACUUCGGGAAACCGGAGCUAAUACCGGAUAAUAUUUUGAACCGCAUGGUUCAAAAGUGAAAGACGGUCUUGCUGUCACUUAUAGAUGGAUCCGCGCUGCAUUAGCUAGUUGGUAAGGUAACGGCUUACCAAGGCGACGAUGCAUAGCCGACCUGAGAGGAGGAUCGGCCACACUGGAACUGAGACACGGGCCAGACUCCUACGGGAGGCAGCAGUGGGGAAUAUUGGGCAAUGGGCGCAAGCCUGACGCAGCAAUACCGCGUGGGUGAAGAAGGUCUUCGGGUUGUAAAACCCUUUUGUUGGGAAAGAAAAUAUGUGGGUGAAUACCUCGCCGUUCUGACGGUACCCAAAGAAAAAGCACCGGCUAACUUCGU
rnacentral:rRNA from 1 species